rnacentral:tRNA from 1 species
UGGCUCAGAGGUUAAAGCAUCUGCUUAUGAUGCAGGAGAUCUGGGUUCGAUUCCUGG